rnacentral:rRNA from 1 species
AACCUCAGCUCAGACGGGUCUACCCACUAAGUUUAAGCAUAUCAAUAAACGGAGGAAAAGAAACUAAUGAGGAUUCCCCUAGUAACGGUGAGCGAACCGGGAAGAGCC